rnacentral:rRNA from 1 species
AUGGGCGAUUUCAAAGUAGAAAUAGAUGUUCAGACCUACUUGACGAUUGUAGGCGGCAAAAGAGUUUACAGAAGGGGCAAAACAUGGGAUUUCAUGGUCGGUCGGGACUUGUAUGUGGCGCGGAUAAAGGAGGUUGUGGAGGAGAAGUUCAAGUGGUCUCCUGAUCAGAGAAUGACCAUUUGGUAUGGAACAGGAUAUAACACCACCCCAUUGAUCUCUGAAUCAGAGAUAGCUGAAUUGUUUGAUAGGUGUUCUAACACAAAAAUAGUAAGGUUUGGUGUGACCAUUGAGAACAAACAGCAACACAAGGAACAAGCUCCUGUCAUGGCCGAGGAUAUGGAUGAUCAACCUAUUCAUGCUCCAUUCUUUGCUUGGCCGAAGCAAGCCUAUGAAGGCGAGUAUGAGGAUGAUGAGCCUGUAGGAUGCGGUGAGGAGAACACCUAUUUGCAUGAGAAUGCGGAGUCAAAGGAGAAUGUCGAGCCACAGAAAAAUGUCGAGCCAAAGGCUGCAAGAGUACCAUUGGGAACACUAGAUGUUGACAACUCUUAUGAUCCAUAUCAUGUGCGAGGGGAUGAUGAGACAUUACUCGCAAACAAUGUGGCUCCUACUUAUCUCCACGAUAAAAAAAAAUCCUUGAAUCGAAGUAGGAGCCACAUUUCCUAA